GAUGAACGCUGGCGGCGUGCCUAAUACAUGCAAGUCGAGCGAACGGACGAGAAGCUUGCUUCUCUGAUGUUAGCGGCGGACGGGUGAGUAACACGUGGAUAACCUACCUAUAAGACUGGGAUAACUUCGGGAAACCGGAGCUAAUAACGGCUAAUAUUUUGAACCGCAUGGUUCAAAAGUGAAAGACGGUCUUGCUGUCACUUAUAGAUGGAUCCGCGCUGCAUUAGCUAGUUGGUAAGGUAACGGCUUACCAAGGCAACGAUGCAUAGCCGACCUGAGAGGGUGAUCGGCCACACUGGAACUGAGACACGGUCCAGACUCCUACGGGAGGCAGCAGUAGGGAAUCUUCCGCAAUGGGCGAAAGCCUGACGGAGCAACGCCGCGUGAGUGAUGAAGGUCUUCGGAUCGUAAAACUCUGUUAUUAGGGAAGAACAGAUGUGUAAGUAACUGUGCACAUCUUGACGGUACCUAAUCAGAAAGCCACGGCUAACUACGUG
rnacentral:rRNA from 1 species